UUUGGUUGGUUGUAAUGGUUUAUUACGUUUUCUUUGAAAACAACCUUAUUCUGUGAAAAGCCAGGAUCUCUAAAUUCUUCCCUCACUACCAAAUAGCAAUUCAACGAAGGUGGAAACUCUCUCUUUUUCCCAUUUCCAAUUUUUACCCCUCACCUUUCUGAAACCAUCCUCCUUACUCCCUUGCUUGCUUGAUUUCUUCUUUUUCUUUUCCCUUUCAUUAGAAUCACGUCAUUUGGUGGGUUCCAAGUUUACUGCAACUGAAAACUAAACCAAGGUUUCUAACUCUCUUUUGCUCUCAUACUACCUUAAUGUUUGCUAAAGUUAUCGCUGAUUUUUUUUCCCUAUCGACCCAUUAGGUUCAAGAAAUUUUAGUUUUUUCUGCUUCAGAUUUGAUUUUGAGUGGUCAUUUUUGUUCUUUACCAUGUUAGUUUGGUUGUUUUACUCUGAUGAGUUUAUGUUAUUGGAUUAAUUUUUAUGGAUUUCUGUAUAUUAAUUAGCUUGAAAGUUCCGAAUAGAGUUCUACUUCUUGGUCCAUAUUAGAAUUUUUAAAUCUUUCUUUAAGAUUUUUAAAGCUUUCUCUUUACUCAUUUUCUAGUUUUCGAAAGAUUCAGCCCAAAAUUUUCAAGAUCCCAAAACUCUAAUGCAAGGCAAAUUGAAAUCAAGUUAAAAAGCCACGUUUUCUACUUUAGAAAAUCCAUCAAUUUUGGUCACUGAUGUUUCGAUGAUGGCUGCAACUUUUCUUUGAUUUUUAUAUUAUCUUGGUUUCUUGGUUUGCAACAAAGGGGGGAAUUGGGUCUACAACAAUAAGGUUAAUUAGUUGUUCCUUUUUGUUUAGUUGUAGUUUAAGUAUAUUUUUUUAAGUUUUAUUUGUAAUUUUAUCUACAAUAUUUAGAUUUAGCCUUAAAAUCUUAGAAUUAUUCAUCAGUUAACUACCAAGCAAUCAAAAAAGAAAAGAAAAAUACUAGUAAAAUAUCAAAAUAUUAAUAUUAAAAAUUCAACUUUUAAUAUCUGCAAAAUCUUUUAUUUUUGUACUAAAAAAGAUUUAUCAUUUGAAUCAAAAUCCCUACCAUCCUCUAUCUUGAUCAAGCAAAUUUAUGUAUCGGCUAAGCAGACCUUCAACUCUACCAAGAGUUGAAAAAAAAAACAUGAUAAACAUGAACAUGAUAGUUGUAAUUCAAUGGGGUGUGAUUAGUAAGAGGUACCUUUUCUUGCAUGAAAAAUGCCUAACACAACCAGAUGGUGAGAAUAUGAUGAGAGCAAUUUCGAUGUUGCAAAUGAUGGAAAGCUCAUAAGCUUUCUUGACUAGUCCAUUUCUACGUUUGGAGAAUGGCUUGUCGGUUGGUAUCAUUCUCGAUCCUUUUAAUUUGAAGUUUAACACAACCCAUGACAGAUGGGAAAAGAGAAUAAAUGAGUAGUACGUUUAGUUUUGGUAUAAGGAAUUGUAGGAUACUUUGAUUAAUAUUUUAUAAGAAUACCAAUAGAUGCAAAGGUAAGACACUUUGAUGUUUAUAAUGAGGAUUUACUUUGAUUCUUCUACAUUUUUAGGAAUUACUUUUAUUUUUGUAAUGAGGAAUUACUUAUUUAGUUGUAAACUGUUACUUUGAAGUUUAGUUGCUGCUUUUAAGUAUUUUAAGUAAUUCCAAAGUAUACAUUUAGUAUUUUUUUUCUUUUCUUUUUUUGAUUGUUUGACAGUGAUGAACAAUUCUAGGAUUUUAAGGUUAAAUCUAAAUAUUGUAGAUAAAAUUGGAAUGAUGAAACUUUAAAAUGUUAUUAAGCUUUCAUCUCUUCUUUUUCUUCUUUUAUGUUUUAAAUGUUUUAGAUUAAGAAUAACUUUGAGACUAUCUUGGAGUUAGAUUCUACAAUACUCUGUCUGAUUAAUUUUUGGUGAGUUUUUGGGGAGCUUUGUUUCUACAUUUUAAUUUUUUUAGCAUCUUUUACUGCAGAAGUAGGGGAAAAAAUCUUGAUGUAUUGAUUUAUGUGAAAAUUUGCUUAGUGAAAAGAAAUUUGAUUCUUUAAUUUUUACGAACAUGUUUGACCUUUUUCUCUGUUGCUUUCCAUGUAGUGUUCUUGGCAAUUGAAGCCAUUGAUUUGGCAGUAGACUUGAAGAUUUGGUCUUUGCUGAGUCUUUUUCUGCGCAAUGAGUGGUUUAAAUUCAACUUGAUUGAUAUUUGGACUACUUGUAACAUAUUUCCUUCACUACAGUUUUUAAUAACUGAAUUAUUUUUUUCGAAAUUUUUGAUUUUCCAUCUCAACAAUACUAUCUUUAAAGUUUGAACUCGAGUUUCUUCUUAGAAGUAUAAUACACAUUAUAAUUGCACCCAACUCUUAUUAGUAAAUUCAAUUCAAU
rnacentral:lncRNA from 1 species